rnacentral:rRNA from 1 species
CCUACGGGAGGCUGCAGUGAGGAAUAUUGGUCAAUGGGCGGAAGCCUGAACCAGCCAAGUAGCGUGAAGGAUGACGGCCCUACGGGUUGUAAACUGCUUUUAUACGGGAAUAACGCGCCUUACGUGUAGGGCUUUGCAUGUACCGUAUGAAUAAGGACCGGCUAACUCAGUGCCAGCAGCCGCGGUAAUACGGAAGGUCCGGGCGUUAUCCGGAUUUAGUGGGUUUAAAGGGAGCGUAGGCCGCAUGUCAAGCGUGCUGUGAAAUGUCCGGGCUCAACCCGGGUCGUGCAGCGGAAACUGGCGUGCUUGAGUGCGCGGAAGGCAGGCGGAAUUCGUCGUGUAGCGGUGAAAUGCUUAGAUAUGACGAAGAACCCCGAUUGCGAAGGCAGCUUGCUGCAGCGGAACUGACGCUGAUGCUCGAAAGCGCGGGUAUCGAACAGGAUUAGAUACCCCUGUAGUC